AUUGAACGCUGGCGGCAUGCUUUACACAUGCAAGUCGAACGGUAACAGGUUAAGCUGACGAGUGGCGAACGGGUGAGUAAUGCAUCGGAACGUGCCCGAUCGUGGGGGAUAACGCAGCGAAAGCUGCGCUAAUACCGCAUACGAUCUGAGGAUGAAAACGGGGGACCGUAAGGCCUCGCGCGAUCGGAGCGGCCGAUGUGAGAUUAGGUAGUUGGUGGGGUAAAGGCUCACCAAGCCGACGAUCUGUAGCUGGUCUGAGAGGACGACCAGCCACACUGGGACUGAGACACGGCCCAGACUCCUACGGGAGGCAGCAGUGGGGAAUUUUGGACAAUGGGCGAAAGCCUGAUCCAGCAAUGCCGCGUGCAGGAAGAAGGCCUUCGGGUUGUAAACUGCUUUUGUACGGAGCGAAAAGGCUCUCUCUAAUACAGGGGGCUCAUGACGGUACCGUAAGAAUAAGCACCGGCUAACUACGUGCCAGCCGCCGCCGUAA
rnacentral:rRNA from 1 species